rnacentral:rRNA from 1 species
UACGUAGGGGGCAAGCGUUAUCCGGAUUUACUGGGUGUAAAGGGAGCGUAGACGGUGAUGCAAGUCAGAAGUGAAAGCCCGCAGCUCAACUGCGGGACUGCUUUUGGAACUAUCUAGCUAGAUUGCAGGAGAGGUAAGUGGAAUUCCUAGUGUAGCGGUGAAAUGCGUAGAUAUUAGGAAGAACACCAGUGGCGAAGGCGGCUUUCUGGACUGAAACUGACGCUGAGGCACGAAAGCGUGGGGAGCGAACAGG